rnacentral:rRNA from 1 species
GGGGAAUUUUCCGCAAUGGGCGAGAGCCUGACGGAGCAACGCCGCGUGAGGGAGGAAGGCCUGUGGGUCGUAAACCUCUUUUCUCAGGGAAGAAGUACUGACGGUACCUGAGGAAUCAGCAUCGGCUAACUCCGUGCCAGCAGCCGCGGUAAGACGGAGGAUGCAAGCGUUAUCCGGAAUUAUUGGGCGUAAAGCGUCCGUAGGUGGUAUAGAAAGUCUGUUGUUAAAUCCCACAGCUCAACUGUGGAUCGGCAAUGGAAACUACUAAACUUGAGUGUGGUAGGGGUAGAGGGAAUUCCUAGUGUAGCGGUGAAAUGCGUUAAUAUUAGGAAGAACACCAGUGGCGAAGGCGGUCUACU